rnacentral:rRNA from 1 species
AUUGAACGCUGGCGGCAGGCCUAACACAUGCAAGUCGAGCGGAUGAUGGGAGCUUGCUCCUGGAUUCAGCGGCGGACGGGUGAGUAAUGCCUAGGAAUCUGCCUGGUAGUGGGGGACAACGUUUCGAAAGGAACGCUAAUACCGCAUACGUCCUACGGGAGAAAGCAGGGGACCUUCGGGCCUUGCGCUAUCAGAUGAGCCUAGGUCGGAUUAGCUAGUAGGUGAGGUAAAGGCUAACCUAGGCGACGAUCCGUAACUGGUCUGAGAGGAGGAUCAGUCACACUGGAACUGAGACACGGUCCAGACUCCUACGGGAGGCAGCAGUGGGGAAUAUUGGACAAUGGGCGAAAGCCUGAUCCAGCCAUGCCGCGUGUGUGAAGAAGGUCUUCGGAUUGUAAAGCACUUUAAGUUGGGAGGAAGGGCAGUAAGUUAAUACCUUGCUGUUUUGACGUUACCGACAGAAUAAGCACCGGCUAACUUCGUGCCAGCCGCCGCUGUAAUAC